rnacentral:misc_RNA from 1 species
GAUGAAGAACGUAGCGAAAUGCGAUAAGUAAUGUGAAUUGCAGAAUUCAGUGAAUCAUCGAAUCUUUGAACGCACAUUGCGCCCGCCAGUAUUCUGGCGGGCAUGCCUGUUCGAGCGUCAUUUCAACCCUCAAGACCCCUUCGGGGGACUUGGUGUUGGGGACCGGCACAGGGGCCUGCCUGCUUGUCUUGCAGCGCUCUCGCCGCCCCCGAAAUGAAUUGGCGGCCUCGUCGCGGCCUCCCCUGCGUAGUAGCACAACCUCGCAACGGGAACGUGACGGCGGCCACUGCCGUAAAACAACCCCAAUUUUAUUAGAGUUGACCUCGAAUCAGGUAGGAAUACCCGCUGAACUUAAGCAUAUCAAUAAGCGGAGGA